rnacentral:lncRNA from 1 species
CUAUUUUUGUAAUUUGUAUUUAUUUUUCAAAGUUACAAUUUUCAGUACAGAGGUUCUUUUCCUAAGCUAAAUAAGAUAUAAAUCCUAGCUUCUUUGACAUAAUAAUGAGUUUUCGCAGGGCGCCCGAUAAUCUUUCGUUUACGAUAUUUGACAAUUUAGCGUUUCUGCGCAUGACCGUAGCAAAAAUUAACAUGGGGGCCAGACGACUUACGUGAAAUUUCCUGAUAACAGACGAGUUCCGUGCGCCCCUCGAAAACUCUCUAUUGACUCGUCUGU